rnacentral:rRNA from 1 species
AUUGAACGCUGGCGGUAUGCUUAACACAUGCAAGUCGAACGGCAGCACAGCAGAGCUUGCUCUGUGGGUGGCGAGUGGCGGACGGGCGAGUAAUACAUCGGGACCUACCCAGACGUGGGGGAUAACGUAGGGAAACUUACGCUAAUACCGCAUACGUCCUACGGGAGAAAGCAGGGGAUCUUCGGAACUGGCGCGGUUGGACGGACCGAUGUUCGAUUAGCUUGUUGGUGAGGUAAUGGCUCACCAAGGCGACGAUCGAUAGCUGGUCUGAGAGGAUGAUCAGCCACACUGGGACUGAGACACGGCCCAGACUCCUACGGGAGGCAGCAGUGGGGAAUAUUGGACAAUGGGCGCAAGCCUGAUCCAGCAAUACCGCGUGUGUGAAGAAGGCCUUCGGGUUGUAAAGCACUUUUAUCAGGAACGAAACGCUGUCGGUUAAUACCCGGCGGAACUGACGGUACCUGAGGAAUAAGCACCGGCUAACUUCGUGCCAGCCGCCGCAGUAA